rnacentral:lncRNA from 8 species
CAGCUUUUCAGAAUUAUCUACUUUCUUUGUGAAGGAGUAUAGACAAUACCUGUAGUCUCUAAACACAGAAAGGCAUGUGCAUUAUUAAAAAGUCUAAUGGUUUAAUUUGAAUCGUACAAACAAAGAACCACACACUGUGUACAAAACAAUUAAGAACACCCGCUAUUUCCAUGAUAUAGACUGACCAGGUGAAUCCAGGUGAAAGCUAUGAUCCCAUUGAUGUCACUUGUUCAGGUUAAAGGAUUAAGCCUUGAGACAGAUUGUGUAAUGUGUGCCAGUCAGAGGGUGAAUGGGCAAGAUAAAAUAUUUAAGUGCUUCUGAACAUGGUAUGGUAGUAGGUGCCAGCCGCACCAGUUUGUAUCAAGAACUGUAACACAGCUGGGUUUUUCAGGCUUAACAGUUUCCCAUGUGUAUGAAGAAUGGUCCACCACCCAAAGGACAUCCAGCCAACUUGACAAAACUGUGGGAAACAUUGGAGUUAACAUCGGGGGGGAGACACAAUAUCUGCAUUUUUCAGAGAGCAUAUGCUUCUUCGUUGCAAAGGUUCAUUUGUUGAAAAUGCAUAUUUUUAAAAUGUUAUGUUUCAUCUUUAGGGUAAACCUACCUAGUAUUUAGAGGACCAUCAUGUAAAUGUCAGUAAUUCAGAAUAUAAACCAUUCAAGACCAUUUAAAUAUCUGCAGUCUUUAUUUCAACAAGACUAGGAAAUGUUUAAGACACCUUUUCUUUUACAAUUUAGCAUCGAUCUCAUCUUGUUUUUCUCAUAACAUUUAGGAGAUACUCAGAAGUGAAAACAUGGAUUGUUAUGGCCUCUUUCAGAGACAUCUAAAAUGGCUGCUCAUUUACAUAUUAUUUUGUCACUCAUACGAAUCCGAAAUGACACCCUAUUCCCUAUGUAGUGCACUACUUUUGACCAGGGGCCAUAGGGGAAUAUUGUGUCAUUUGGGACACACAGACUCCUCAGUCCUCAAAGAUGACUCCAUGCUGUUCUGGUGGGCCGAAGACCGACAGGGUGUGCCGUCAUAUACAGUGGCUUGCAAAAGUAUUCACCCCCCUUGGCAUUUUUCCUAUUUUGUUGCCUUACAACCUAGAAUUAAAAUAGGAAAUCUGAAACCAAUACCUUCAGUUAAUUUGUAA